rnacentral:rRNA from 1 species
CCUACGGGAGGCAGCAGUGAGGAAUAUUGGUCAAUGGGCGCGAGCCUGAACCAGCCAAGUCGCGUGCAGGAAGACGGUCCUAUGGAUUGUAAACUGCUUUUGUCGGGGAGUAAAAUACGCCACGCGUGGCGUUUUGAAAGUACCCCAUGAAAAAGCAUCGGCUAACUCCGUGCCAGCAGCCGCGGUAAUACGGAGGAUGCGAGCGUUAUCCGGAUUUAUUGGGUUUAAAGGGUGCGUAGGUUGUAUUUUAAGUCAGCGGUGAAAGUUUGUGGCUCAACCAUAGCAUUGCCGCUGAAACUGGAAGACUUGAGUGUGUUUGAGGUAGGCGGAAUGCGUGGUGUAGCGGUGAAAUGCAUAGAUAUCACGAAGAACUCCGAUUGCGAAGGCAGCUUACG